rnacentral:misc_RNA from 1 species
GGAAGGAUCAUUAACACAUUGUCCAUUUGAUGGUUGUUCCUUUUCUAUGGACCCCCUUACGGGGGAACGUUAGAGGAGCAAUCAUUCAAACCCCUAGCAAACUAGUUGAAGUUUUCAAUAAUAGUUUUUUAAACUAUCCCUAUUGGAAUUCACGUGUAAUCACAUUCAAUGCCUGGGUUGCCUUUGCGGUUUCGCCUUCGCGGCGUUUUUCGCUGGGCUUCCUCGUGGCAUUUGACUGAUGUUUAAUAACAAAAAAAAUACAUAUAACCAAGACAACUUGUAACAGUGGAUACCUUGGUUCCCAGGUCGAUGAAGAGCGCAGCGAACUGCGAUAAGUCAUGUGAAUUGCAGAAUUCCGUGAAUCAUCGAACUCUUGAACGCAAAUUGCACUUAGGUGUCGAACUUAAGUGUGUCUGCUCGAGUGUCGGCAAUAAACUCUCACUUUUUACGAAGUGAUCUUGAGAGCUCAGCGAGGCAACUGGUUGAACUCUUUAAAUGGAUGGUGGACGAUUUCUAAAAAAACCUACAAAGUGACUUUUGUUAAGGAAGGAAGAAUUUGACCCAACCAAAUGAAUUAAGUAGUUUCACUACUCUAUCUCAUUUGUUGUUGACUAAUUCCUCUCUUGCUUGCGAUGACAAUUUUUUGUAUGAAAUCAUCUGUCUCUUGUUAACUUGGCGUACUAACGUUCGCUGUAACAAAUCUAAAACUAAAAUCUCGACCUCGAAUUAGACAAGAUCACCCGGUGGACUUAAGCAUAUUAUUAACCGGAGGAAAAGAAACUAACAAGGAUGCCCUUAGUAACGGCGAGUGAAGCGGGCAUAGCUCAAAUUUAAAAUCUGGGUGCCUUAUGGUACUCCGAAUUGUAGUUUUUGGAUCGUCAGUCACGGGGCUGCUAGUGCGGGAGUAAGUUCUUUGGAACAAGGCAUCAUAGAGGGUGAGAAUCCCGUAUGCGUCUCCGCUAGUAGUUCAAUAGGUGUCUGGCUUUUCACGAGUCGGGUUGUUUGGGAUUGCAGCCCUAAAUAGGUGGUAGAUCUCAUCUAAAGCUAAAUAUUCCUGGGAGACCGAUAGCGAAGAAGUAGUGUGAACGAAAGGUGAAAAGAACUUUGAAAAGAAGGUGAAAAGUACUUGAAGCUGUUCCAAGGGAACCGCAUGGAAUCAGUGACUGCAUGUAGGCAAUUCAGCGUGCCGUUUGCGGACAGUGUCGGCUGCCACGGAGGUGUACGCCCCGGAGCGUCGAGCUGCGAGUAGAGAGCGCGUGUACUUUGCUUGCGUGCGAGUCAGCAUCAGUUUGGUUGGCAGCGGAGAAGGGCGGGAGGAAGGUAGGCCAGGCUCUCGGGUCUGGCUGUUAUAGCCUCCUGUUACAUACGCUGUCCUGGACUGAGGAAACAAAACGCAUGCCUCGGCGAGGUAAUGGGCUGACCCGUGUUGGUGACUGCGUACGUCUGCUUGCAGGGUGCACUGUCGAUCGAUGCGGCAUAAGUUCAUCCAUCUGUGCGUUAGGGAUGCUGACGAAAUGAUUUCAUUCGACCCGUCUUGAAACACGGACCAAGGAGUCUAACAUGUAUGCGAGUAUUUGGGUGGCAAACCCUGAUGCGCAACGAAAGUGAAUUGAUGUGAGAUCUGUCGUUACGAGCAGGUUGCAACAUCGGCCAACUGCUUCUAGGAGCGGAUUGUGUCUGAGCACACAUGAUGGGACCCGAAAGAUGGUGAACUUUGCGUGCGCAGGGUGAAGCCAGAGGAAACUCUGGUGGAGGCUCGUAGAGAUACUGACGUGCAAAUCGUUCUUCAGACGUGCGUAAAGGGGCGAAAGACUAAUCGAACCAUCUAGUAGCUGGUUUACAC